rnacentral:rRNA from 1 species
GAUGAACGCUAGCGGGAGGCCUAAUACAUGCAAGUCGAGCGAGAAGGUUUCUUCGGAGACUGGAAAGCGGCGCACGGGUGAGUAACGCGUACGCAACUUACCCCUGAGAGUGGAAUAGCCCUGGGAAACUGGGAUUAAUACCGCAUAGUUUAUGGAGUUGGCAUCAAUUCCAUAAUAAAGCUUCGGCGCUCAGGGAUAGGCGUGCGUUCCAUUAGCUAGUUGGCGGGGUAACGGCCCACCAAGGCGACGAUGUCUAGCUGGUCUGAGAGGAUGAUCAGCCACACUGGGACUGAGACACGGCCCAGACUCCUACGGGAGGCAGCAGUAGGGAAUAUUGGACAAUGGGGGGAACCCUGAUCCAGCCAUGCCGCGUGAGGGAAGAAGGUCCUCUGGAUUGUAAACCUCUUUUGGCAGGAAACAAACCUGCGCUAUACGCGCAGCUGAGGGUACCUGCAGAAUAAGCACCGGCUAACUCCGUGCCAGCAG